CGAACGCUAGCGGCGGACUUAAUACAUGCAAGUCGAGCGAGAAAGCACCUUCGGGUGUGAGUAAAGCGGCGGACGGGUGAGUAACACGUGAGUAACCUACCUCUCGGCGGGGGACAACACUUCGAAAGGGGUGCUAAUACCGCAUUCGACUCUUUUAACUUCGGUUUUUUGAGGGAAAGAUGGCCUCUCCAUGGAAGCUGUCACCGAGAGACGGGCUCGCGGCCCAUUAGCUAGUUGGUGAGGUAACGGCUCACCAAGGCUGUGAUGGGUAGCUGGUCUGAGAGGAUGACCAGCCACACUGGGACUGAGACACGGCCCAGACUCCUACGGGAGGCAGCAGUAGGGAAUAUUGGACAAUGGGGGAAACCCUGAUCCAGUCACGCCGCGUGGGUGAUGGAGGCCUUCGGGUCGUAAAGCCUUGUCAGGAAGGACGAAACGGUUUUGUAUUAAUACUACAGGAUCUUGACGCUACUUCCAAAGGAAGCACCGGCUAACUAC
rnacentral:rRNA from 1 species